rnacentral:rRNA from 1 species
CCUUGACCUCAAUCAGGUGGACUCCCGCUGAACUUAGCAUUCAAUAGGGGAGAA